rnacentral:rRNA from 1 species
AGAGUUUGAUCAUGGCUCAGGACGAACGCUGGCGGCACGCUUAACACAUGCAAGUCGAACGAGAGAAGAGGAGCUUGCCUUUCUGAUCUAGUGGCGGACGGGUGAGUAACACGUGAGCAAUCUGCCUUUCAGAGGGGGAUACCGAUUGGAAACGAUCGUUAAUACCGCAUAACAUAAUUGAACCGCAUGAUUUGAUUAUCAAAGAUUUAUCGCUGAAAGAUGAGCUCGCGUCUGAUUAGCUAGUUGGUAAGGUAACGGCUUACCAAGGCGACGAUCAGUAGCCGGACUGAGAGGUUGAUCGGCCACAUUGGGACUGAGACACGGCCCAGACUCCUACGGGAGGCAGCAGUGGGGAAUAUUGCACAAUGGAGGAAACUCUGAUGCAGCGAUGCCGCGUGAGGGAAGAAGGUUUUAGGAUUGUAAACCUCUGUCUUCAGGGACGAAAAAAGACGGUACCUGAGGAGGAAGCUCCGGCUAACUACGUGCCAGCAGCCGCGGUAAUACGUAGGGAGCGAGCGUUGUCCGGAAUUACUGGGUGUAAAGGGAGCGUAGGCGGGAUCGCAAGUCAGAUGUGAAAACUAUGGGCUUAACCCAUAAACUGCAUUUGAAACUGUGGUUCUUGAGUGAAGUAGAGGUAAGCGGAAUUCCUAGUGUAGCGGUGAAAUGCGUAGAUAUUAGGAGGAACAUCAGUGGCGAAGGCGGCUUACUGGGCUUUAACUGACGCUGAGGCUCGAAAGCGUGGGGAGCAAACAGGAUUAGAUACCCUGGUAGUCCACGCCGUAAACGAUGAUUACUAGGUGUGGGGGGACUGACCCCUUCCGUGCCGCAGCAAACGCAAUAAGUAAUCCACCUGGGGAGUACGACCGCAAGGUUGAAACUCAAAGGAAUUGACGGGGGCCCGCACAAGCAGUGGAGUAUGUGGAUUAAUUCGAAGCAACGCGAAGAACCUUACCAGGUCUUGACAUCGUAUGCAUAGCUCAGAGAUGAGUGAAAUCUCUUCGGAGACAUAUAGACAGGUGGUGCAUGGUUGUCGUCAGCUCGUGUCGUGAGAUGUUGGGUUAAGUCCCGCAACGAGCGCAACCCUUACUGUUAGUUGCUACGCAAGAGCACUCUAGCAGGACUGCCGUUGACAAAACGGAGGAAGGUGGGGAUGACGUCAAAUCAUCAUGCCCCUUAUGACCUGGGCCUCACACGUACUACAAUGGCUGUCAACAGAGGGAAGCAAAGCCGCGAGGUGGAGCGAACCCCUAAAAGCAGUCUUAGUUCGGAUUGUAGGCUGCAACCCGCCUACAUGAAGUCGGAAUUGCUAGUAAUCGCAGAUCAGCAUGCUGCGGUGAAUACGUUCCCGGGCCUUGUACACACCGCCCGUCACGCCAUGGGAGUCGGUAACACCCGAAGCCUGUAGUCUAACCGCAAGGAGGACGCAGUCGAAGGUGGGAUUGAUGACUGGGGUGAAGUCGUAACAAGGUA